rnacentral:rRNA from 1 species
AUACGGAGGGUGCAAGCGUUGUUCGGAUUUACUGGGCGUAAAGGGCGUGUAGGCGGAUAUGUAAGCUGGAGGUGAAAGCCCCGGGCUCAACCCGGGAACUGCUUUGUAGAACUGCAUAUCUAGAGAAAGUCAGAGGCAGGUGGAAUUCCUGGUGUAGAGGUGAAAUUCGUAGAGAUCAGGAGGAACACCGGCGGCGAAGGCGGCCUGCUGGGGCUUUUCUGACGCUGAGGCGCGAAAGCGUGGGGAGCAAACAGGAUUAGAAACCCCGGUAGUCC